GUCUGCGGCCAUACCACCCUAAACGUGCCCGAUCUCAUCUGAUCUCAAAAGCUAAGCAGGGUCGGGCCUGGUUGGUACUUGGAUGGGAGAUUUAUAUCUUCUUAUAAGACUUUUAUAGUUUUAGAUC
ensembl:rRNA 5S_rRNA 5S ribosomal RNA